UUCUAAUAUGGCAGAUUAGUGCAAUGGAUUUAAACCCCAUAAAUAAAGUUUUUAGUGCUUUUUUUAGAA
rnacentral:tRNA from 1 species